CACUCUCUGAGGUCCCAGUCCUGGCUGAGAGGAGGCAGAGGUCAGUUGGCAGCGCCCUCAGCACUAGGUCCCCAUACCCUGCCCAGCUGUCAUCCCUGGAGGAGCCAGGCGCCCAGGAUCCAGCUGGCCCUCAGGCCACCCAUACAGCGGGGGCAGGUCCUUCAGACUGUGUCUCAGGAAGACGGCCACCACCAUUAGGUCACAGAGGCAGGGACUGGGGAGAGAUUCACCGCCACCUCAAGGCCUGAGCCAAGGCCAGAAGGAGGCCUGGUGAGGGUUAUGGAGCCCUGCAGGACACAGCCCCCAGCUGGGCCCCCCAUCUCACCCACUGAUCCAAGGCCCCAAGAGAGAAGGCCAGGAUUCACCUCUUAGCUCAUUCUCAGUCUGACAACCACCACUCUGCCAACUGUUUGCUGAAUGGACCACUAACGGUCGCUCAUUGACAGUCGGUCACUUAGGGCAGGAGCCCACUGCAAUGCUGACCAAUGGCUGAGCAGGACCACUAACGGUCACUCAUUGACAGUUGGUCACUUGAGGGAGGGGCCCACUACGAUGCCAACUAGUAGCUGAACAUGAAUACUCACAGUCCCCUGGUAACCAUUGGCUGGUCAGAGAAACCUGGCUGGCUACAGUCCGUGGGGUCACAAAGAGUCCGACAUGACUGAGCACACACUCACAAGUGGAUGAGGACGGUGAGGCUCAGAGAGGAUGAUUUUCCAAGUCCAGCAUUUCUCAUGAUGUACUCUGCAUAGAAGUUAAAUAAGCAGAGUGACAAUAUACAGCCUUGAUGUACUCCUUUUCCUGUUUGGAACCAGUCUGUUGUUCCAUGUCCAGUUCUAACUGUUGCUUCCUGACCUGCAUACAGAUUUCUCAAGAGGUAAGUUUGGUGGUCUGGUAUUCCCGUCUCUUUCAGAAUUUUCCACAGCUUAUUGUGAUCCACACAGUCAAAGGCUUUGACAUUGUCAAUAAAGCAGAAGUAGAUGUUUUCCUGGAACUCUCUUGCUUUUUCCAUGAUCCAGUGGAUGUUGGCAAUUUGAUCUCUGGUUCCUCUGCCUUUUCUAAAACCAGCUUGAACAUCAGGGAGUUUACGGUUCAUGUAUUGCUUAAGCCUGGCUUGGAGAAUUUUGAGCAUUACUUUACUAGCACGUGACAUGAGUGCAAUUGUGCGAUAGUUUGACCAUUCUUUGACAUUGCCUUUCUUUGGGAUUGGAAUGAAAACUGACCUUUCCAGUCCUGUGGCCACUGCUGAGUUUUCCAAAUGUGCUGGCAUAUUGAGUGUAGCACUUUCACAGCAUCAUCUUUCAGGAUUUGAAACAGCUCAAGUGGAAUUCCAUCACCUCCACUAGCUUUGUUCGUAGUGAUGCUUUCUAAGGCCCACUUGACUUCACAUUCCAUGAUGUCUGGCUCUAGAUUAGUGAUCACAUCAUCAUGAUUAUCUGGGUCAUGAAGAUCUUUUUGUACAGUUCUUCCGUGUAUUCUUGCCACCUCUUCUUAAUAUCUUCUGCUUCUGUUAGGUCCAGACCAUUUCUGUCCUUUAUCGAGCCCAUCUUUGCAUGAAAUGUUCCCUUGGUGUCUCUACUUUUCUUGAAGAGGUCUCUAGUCUUUCCCAUUCUGUUCUUUUCCUCUAUUUCUUCGCAUUGAUUGCUGAAGAAGGCUUUCUUAUCUCUUCUUGCUAUUCUUUGGAACUCUACAUUCAGAUGCUUUUAUCUUUCUUUCUCUCCUUUACUUUUCGCCUCUCUUCUUUUCACAGCUAUUUGUAAGGCCUCCCCAGACAGCCAUUUUGCUUCACUUCAUGGCAAAUAGAUGGGGAAACAAUGGAAACAGUGAGAGACUUUACUUUCUUGGGCUCCCAAAUCACUGCAGAUGGUGACUGCAGCCAUGAAAUUAAAAGAUGCUUGCUCUUUGGAAGAAAAGCUAUGACCAACCUAGACAGCAUAUUAAAAAGCAGAGACAUUACUUUAACAAAAAGGGUCUGUAUAGUCAAAGCUAUGGUUUUUCCAGUAGUCACACAUGGAUGUGAGAGUUGGAGAAUUGAAGAAUUGAUGCUUUUGAACUGUGAUAUUGGAGAAGACUCUUGAGAGUCCCUUAGACAGCAAGGAGAUGAAACCAGUCAAUCCUAAAGGAAAUCAAGCCUGAAUAUUCAUUGGAAGGACUGAUGCUGAAGCUGAAACUCCAAUACUUUGGCCACCUGAUACAAAGAACUAACUCACUGGAGAGAACUCUGAUGCUGGUAAAGAUUGAAGGCAGGAGGAGAAGGGGACCACAGAGGAUGGGAUGGUUGAGUGGCAUCACUGACUCAACAGACAUGAGUUUAAGUAAGCUCCAGGAGUUGCUAAUAGACAGGGAAGCCUGGCAUGCUGCAGUCCAUGGGGUCACAAAGAGCCAGACACAACUGAGUGACUGAAGUGAACCAUAUGCAGCUUAGCAAGGGAACAGGUCAUUUCGGGCAGAGAACACACUCCUGCUUAUGUACAGUGAGGAUUUGCACAUUUCAGGACCUCAACAGAAAGCCUUUUCUUCAGGAUAUCUGUAUCAUGUGUUUCCCACCCCCUCAACCCCUGCACACUGGAAAGUUCCUAAGGCCAGGGCUUCUAGAUGUUAGCAUACUGCCUGGAAUAUAAUAGAUUCAUGAUAAACUUUUGUUGAAUUUGCUCCACUCUUACUAAGGUCACAAUCAGUAAUGGCAAAAGAUGGACAUCAGUGAGGACUGUGAAGACAUGCACACAUACAAGGGGAUUAUUUAUAAGCACAUCAGGCACAUCUUACCCUCAUACCUCAAAAUACACAGGAGCAAAUUAUGCGAGUUAGGACAGUGUCAAGAGGCAACACAAUGUAGUCAAUCACCAUUAACUGCCUGCCCUUGAACCGCAGAUGAAACAGCCUACAGAUGCAAACAACCCAAUUUUAGGUGGCAUUUUACGUGCUUGGGAAGGCCAUCUUGAUUUCUAUGGUCAAAUUAAUAGAUCAUUUGAAGCUGUAAGGAAAUCAUUUUGUUUGAGUAUAUAUUCUAAACUUAGUCCCAACUGGACGCUGCAUUCAAAACCAAAAGCAGGCUAAGAACUUGGCUCUGUCUACCCUAAUUUCCUCAAUAGUUGCUGCUGGGCUCACCACCCUACUAGGAAAUUCAGGUAAUAUUAAUACCCACGUUCUACUCAAUAACUCCAAUGCCUCGAGCUGUAGUUCUGAGGUCCCUGCUGAGAAGAUAAGGCUAUUUUUUUGAACAAAGCAAAUUCACUACUGCAACUGGCUUUGCAUAGGCAGUCUCCUAAGUACUCCUAAGAUAUGCUUAGGAAAUCUUCUGGAGGAAUUUUGACCUUGGUCACUGUGUGGAACCAACAAUUUUUCUUCCAUCUACAGUGUGAUUUUCUUAAUUUACUUGCAACCCACUGAGUGCAUAACCAGACAAAGAUGAGCCCUCCUGAGGUUGGUAUACCAACUCACUUUGGCAGGUGCCAACCGCAACUGAGAGUGUUCAAACUCAACAAGGAUUUCAAAGUUUUAACAAUGGUUUCUAAAAGUUACUAUUGAAAACAAGAGCUUUAUUAAAAAGAAAUAAAAGUUCUUGUCAUUGGGGAAAAAAUGAGCUUUGAUAGGGAGUUUGGGAUGGACAUGUACACACUGCUAUAUUUAAAAUGGAUAAACAAUAAGGACCUACUGGACAACACAGGGAACUCUGCUCAGAGUUAUAUGGCAGCCUGGAUGGGAGGGGAUUGGGGGAGAAUGAAUACAUGUAUACCUAUGACUGAGUCCCUUCACUGUUCACCUGAAACUGUAACAACAUUGCUAAUUGGCUAUACCCAAAUACAAAAUAAAAACUGAAAGAUAAAAAUCAAAAAUGCAAGCUUUAGGCAUAGAGCAUGGGCACAGGCCCCCACUGAGAAAGGAAGAGGCAAACGUUCAGUACUUCCACUGAUUAUGCGAUCCCUCCAUCAAUCCAUGAAGCUGGUGCCCAAGUGUCUGUCUCUCCAUCUCACACACACUUACACAAUUAAUUUUAAUAAAAUGGAGCUAACAGUAUGAUCUUCCGUCCAUGUUCAAAUUGUGGCUCUACCACUGGUUGUGGUAACUUGGCCAAGUUUCUUGAUUCUUCCAAGCCUCAGUUUCUUCACCAGGAAAUGAACAUAAGAAUGCUUGCCUAACCAGAGUAGGUGAAUAGACCAUUAAAUGAGAAAAUGUAAAAUCCUUAGCUGUACCUGGCAUUCAGUAAAGACUCUGUAAAUGUUCACAACUUAAGAGGGACCAAACAGAACCCGAUAAAAUUCCUUCCCAUGGCCUGAGUAAGGUUAACUUGGGUAGCUGGUGAUGGGCCACGUAUAAACACCUAGUGAUUCCAGGAAACAGUUGGGUGGGGUUUGUGGAUGAGAGUCGGAGCCAGUGAUGGACUGGUUGUCACUAUGGAGAUGACCUCACAAGAGCCACAGGCUAAGGAGUCUGAGAAUGCACACCCACCCAGUAAGUACCAGUGCGUCUGAGCCCAGUGACUGCACCACACAUCCUCGCGCUGGUCCUGCAGCAGUUUUCCCCUGUGACGCUGCCGGUUACAAAAGAAAGCACUAAGAACCUGCCCUGUCCUCAAGAACUCCUCCAGGAAGAUUUCUGAUUCCCUUCUUUCCAAAGACACUGCCACCACCUCCUGAUCAUCCAGGUUCCUGGCAUCUCCAGCUCACAGUCAACACAGAAGAGAGCACGGUGGUUACAGCCACAGCUCUGGAGCACGCAUGCCCAGCUCAAGUCCCAGUUGUGCUGCCUUCUAGCUGAAGGACCCUGGGCAAGACAACUUUCCUGUACCUUGACUCCUCAUCUAUCUGUUAACAAUGAGAGAAUGACUAGUAUUUACUUCCUCAGGUGCUGCAAGGAUUAAGCAAGAUCAAGAACAGAAAACCCUUAACUUGCCACUGAGAUGAGCAAUUGUCACCCUGAUUACUGCUUGUUGAAUCCCAUCAGUGCCAGGGUGCAGGGGAAGGGGCCCGGGUUCACCCACCCUUAGCGGCCAAAGCGGUCAGUGUGAAUGGACAGGGCGCAACCUUCAAAAGCGCUCUUCCGGCGGCUUCAGCAAGACAAACAGGGAAAGGCCCUUGUGCCUGCCAAAACUUUGCCUGGUAAAUAAUUGAUGUCCCGCCGUGUGUUCUUUUAUUCAGAAACGCCUUUGAAGUUCGCCCUCGCCCUUGCCGCAGGGAGACUGGGGAAGGCGGGCCAGGGGGAUGGAAGGGAAGGAGCCACAGAAGGGGAAUGGGCAGUGUGCAAUCCAGAAGAAAGAAAAACUACAGCCAUUUUUGGUAUCUGUUAAGGUGUGGAGUCAUUAAUUAUAAGUUUUUAUCAAGAAAGGAUUCCCAGCAGCCAAGCACCAAAAAGGGAAGAUGGGGAAGGAUACAAACGCAGUUCUUAAGAACACCUGUGAGUGCUGGUCCACCAGCUCACUCCUGGGGAGGUGACAGUUGGCAAAAACAUUCAACAGCAGGCAGGAGUUUAGCUGGGCAAGAGCAGCCAGCCCAGCCUCACAGGGACUAAUUAUGAAAAUAUGAUUACAAUGGAUUAGUAAUCUUGUCAAUCAGAGCCACAUGCCAGGGAGUACCUGGCAGAGGCUGAAAAUGCCGCAGGACAAAUGCCAGAGGAUUUCGUGCUGUGGGCUUUUUUUGUGGGGUGUGGGGGUACAAAAUAUUCCUCCCUGGGAGGGAGGGCCUUAGGGUCCCGGGGAUGAACAAGUCCAGAGAAGGCACUAACAGGCCUAUGGAGAGGAGCGGUCGGGAUGCACUACCAGAUACCUCUAGUGUGCCCCAGCUGGGAAUUCUGCACAGCAUCCUCUUACUGCCACCCCUUAGAACUGGCCGAAAACUGGUUCCCUGUUUUACAUAAGCCUGAAAGACAGUAUUGUCUUCCUGCAGGAGUCAAGGGAAGGCAAAUAGGGGUUAAGAAAUGAUAUGGGUAGAAAAAGAAAUACUAACGACAGCUACUCUUCCCAGAUGCGUAGAAAUAAGGUCUUGCCAGGUUUCUGGCAGUUUUGUCUUCACCUCAUUUAAUCCUUACAAAAGCCUGUGAGAUAAGAAUUACUUCCUUAUCAAACAAGUAGAAGCUUAUAGAUGUUGUCUAUGACUUGGCCCAUGCCAUAUCACAAGAAAAACAGAUCAUCUGAACUCCAGGGUUUAUUUUCAUAAUUGCCAGCGUCUACUGUUGAUUGCCAAAGGGAACUCUAAACCAACGUCCCUCAGUCAUCUUUCCUGCAGUUACAGAAGCAUCCUCCACACCACAGUGCAAUCAAGGAAUCAGGGAGGUAGCAGAGUCCGGAGCACAAGAUACUGAACUGUACAUCAGAAGACUUAAGUUUCUCAACACCAUUAAAUGAAAGUGAAGUCACUCAGUCAUGUCCAACUCUUUGCUACCCCAUGGACUGUAGCCUACCACGCUCCUCUGUCCAUGGGAUUUUCCAGGCAAGAGUACUGGAGUGGGUUGCCAUUUCCUUCUCCAGAGGAUCUUCCUGAUCCAGGGAUUGAACCCGGGUCUCCUGCAUUGUAGACUGACACUUUACCAUCUGAGCCACAAGGGAAGUCCUUCUGUUUCUCAACGCAAUUACAAGCUACUUUUAAAGGUCCAUUUGCCAAUGCAGGAAGAUGCAGGAGAUGCAGGUUCGAUCCCUGGGUUGGAAAGAUCCCCGGAAAAGGAAAUGGCAACCUAUUCCAGUAGUCUUGCCUGGAGAAUCCCAUGGAGAGAGGAGCCUGGCAGACUACAGUCCAUGAGGCUGCAGAGAGUUGGACACGACUGAGAACACACUUUUAAAAGAGUCUUUACCAUGUCUGUCACUGUAUUAAAUGCUUUGGUUACUUUCGGCAUUGCAUCUUCAAAGUAAAGGUACAAACAUAGCAUUAUUCUAUUUUGUAGAUGAGAAAAUGGAAUCUUAGUAAAGGUGGAUAAUUGCCCAUAUGCUAUAGAAGUGGUAAGAGUCAAGAGAAGUAAUUCCAAACCAGGUUGUUCUGAUCCCCAGCCUUGGCUUCUUAUGACCGCUCUCUGUGUGAGAGGCAUGUGAGUGUUUUAAAUCCUCAUCAACCUUGGUCAUGACCCUGGCAUGCAGAGCACAGGGCUAGAGACUAAUCCAUCUGUACUUUGCUUCCCCUGCUGGACACGAUAACAUUUGUCAAGUGUCUGUUCUGAGUCAUCACCAGGAAAAGUGACCUGGGGUGGGAGGAGAUAAAAUUCUGUCCAGACUCAUAGGAUUAUUAUUACCAAGGAAAAUUCUAGAGUGACCUAAAUUUCAUUCAUACUGUCAAUGCUCAAAGAACAGAGUAAAGAAAACAGAUCUGUUUUCCAGCUUAGGAUAUGAAGAAAUGAAGGCAUGCUCAGAUAAAUUUAUCAGAAAAGGGGGAAUGUUUUACAAUGUAUCCUGUCAUUGUUAUGAAUAAAAAUGUGGGCUAAUAAAAAGAAAAAAUGAAAAAUGUUUUUGUAACACUGUGAUAGGAAAAAAAAAAAAAGAUAGGCAUGGGAAUUAGGCUGCCACAUUCACUAAGCUCUACUCUAUUAGAGCUCUUGCUGUCCACUGCUAUUUUCAUUUGGAUGGUUUACAGUUUUCCAUCCCUCAUCUGUGAGUGAGGGCUCAAUUUCUAACUGACGUCUUGUGUUCCUCUACAUCCCCAGCAUCAAGCAGAGAGCUGAUGUGGUGCUGAGCAGAUCCUCAGCCCAGUUUUGUUUUAUGGAUCCCCUCCAGCUAAUCCUAGUGACAGCAGAGAGAUAAACUGAAAGAUCACUCACUUCCUCUUAAGGCUUAUCAUUCCACAGUUCUGGGGAAAAUGGAUAUAUGUGAUGGAUAGGAGGCAUUCAGGCUUCCCAGGGGGCUUAGCGGUAAAAGAAUCUGCCUGUCAAUGCAGGAGACACAGGAGAUGCCGGUUCAGUUCCUGGGUUGGGAAGAUCCCCUGGAGGAGGAAAUGGCAAGCCACUCCAGUAUUCCUGCCUGGAGAAUCCCAUGGACAGAGGAGCCUGGUGGGCUACAGUCCAUAGGGUCACAGAGGAGCCUGGUGGGCUACAGUCCACAGGGUCACAAAGAGUCAGACACAACUGAGCAUGCAUGGACAGGAGGCAGUCACUCCUCCAACUUGUAUUCACUCUCACUGACCGGAAAGAAACAAAUCUCUAAAAAGCUUUUUAAAUUAGCAUAACACACUAUGUACACAUAAGUCUUUGGGUGGGGGGUGCUGUAUGACAAUGUCAGGAACUGAUGGGUAGCAUGAGCCAUCCUGAGAAAGCAUCCACACAUAAAAUACACAAAGGCAUAGAAGCAUAUUCCUCUGCCACUGACAGAUUCCCCCACUUCAAUGAUACCAUCCCCCAGCGCACUGCAAAGCACCAAGACUGAAGGAGAGCGCCUAUUAAGAGGGCUGAGGAAUGCAUAACCAGCGCUGUGUCAGGCAUGUGAAUCCCAGGAACUAGAGGUGGCAUUUGCUGACAAGCUCUGGAGAGGCACAAAGAUGUCCAUCUCUCAAAAACAGCCUUGAGCAUCCACGUCUUCACAGUGAAGAGCAGCUGAUAGGCCUUCAAUAUAUGAUUCAUAUUAUGAGCCUCACUAUUUCUAGACCUCCUCCUAAGCCUGCAGGGUAAAACCACAGUGUCUGGAGGGAGGGAAGGGGAACAAGAAAAUCCUUACGAGAGCUGAAUCAUCCUUUUGAAAUAUGCUGGUCAUUCCUUAUUCAGACAGUACUUUCAAGAACAAGGCCAUUUUGAGAGAAAACCCUCUUCCAGUUUUGAUGAGGUGAAAACCACACUGUACUCUUAGGUCAAAGGAAACUGCUAAGGAGUUUUCCUACUGGUGCUUACAGCCUACCGGUCAAGCCUACUCGUGCUUGACAGUCCCCUCCAGGAGGAGGCCUCUGAGGCCUCCCUCCACACAAUGACUUCAAGUCUCUGCCUAACAACAUCCCCACCCACUAGCCAGGGAUGUUCCCCUCAUUGUCCUCACAACAGGAAAGUCAUCCCCUUUCUUGUUUCCCAAGAAUGUCAGGUGUGGUCAGGCCAUCAUGCCUCAGUUCAGGCCUUUAGUAUCCCCUGGACCUCUCUCUCCAAUCCAGGAAAAUCUCAGUUCUCCCCUGAAACUGUAUCAGGCACUUCCUCCCCCAAGAAAUCUUUCCCAAAUGUCUCAAUCUAUACACUCUCUGUCCUCUCCAAGUUAUUCUCUAGGACCUAAAUCUAAUGGGGGGCUUCCCUCUGCUAACAGUUUCCUAUGUCCAUGUACUUAAUCAAUCCAAAGAAAUAAGAAAAUCAGUAAUUACUGAGCAUUUACCAUAUUUUGAGACAUUAAACUAAACUCUUUAUAAAUACUUAUCAUAUUUAAUCCUUAAAGCCAAGCCUUGUGUAGCACCUACUAUUAUGCCCCAUGUCAUGGAUGAGGAAAACUGAGGCACAUUUGAAUAAAAUCUUGCUCAGUAUCAUACCACCAGACAUAAAUUCAGAUAUAUUUGACUACAGAUCCUGUGACUUUAACCCUCAAAGUAGCCAUAGCCUGAAAAAUCUCCUGGAUCUCACAGACCCUUAUACUGAUGUAUAUUUCAUUCAUUUUCAGUGAGAGAAAUUGUAGUAUGACCAAAAUUUGACUCGUGACUUCUCAGUGUUAUUCAUUUACUGAGCAUUUUUCAUUUGCCGAGCACAGUGUUCUUGCCUGGAGAAUCCCAGGGAUAGGGGAGCCUGGUGGGCUGCCAUCUGUGGGGUCGCACAGAGUUGGACAUGACUGAAGUGACUUAGCAGCAGCAUCAGCAGUGCUAGGUGCUAGGGAUAAAAUGAUGAACAGACAUGUCCCCUGCCCUUAAGAAGCUCAGAGUCAUAGAGCAGAGGCUCUAUAACUAUUGGGAUUAAAUUACCACAAACACAAGCCAAUGACUGGUAGGUUCAACCAGGUAUGCAUGAAAUGGUCACUCUGCUCAAAGAAGUAUUAAAUUGUGAAGAGAAUACUGAACUGAUACAUAAGGGCCCUGAGGUUUCCCCAGACCGCCAAUAAUUUGCUAUAUGCCAUCUAGCAAGCAAUAUUUCGUCAAUCUGUUUAUAAAUAAAGUUGAGAGCCUGAGCCACAUCUGUGAAUACACAAGUUGGCCCAACAUCAGAAUCGCCUGUUCAAUGAUUUUCAUUCUACUGCCAAACAAGUGCCUGGAGAACAUGAAAUGGAGCAGGACCCUGUGGGGCUCUCCCAGGUACAAAUCCUUUCUAGGUCCCCCAUAUACUGUUCAUAGGAAAUAGGCUACAUUCAGCUUCCUUGACCUUCCCUAAGUUCCAAAGGGCAGAUUCCAACAGUUGCUUAUCAGGAAAGGAAAGAAAUGCAGAAGCAAAGGUUUCCAUAUGAACUAAUGAAGUAAUGGAUAUGAAGGACUUGGCACCAUGCCCCUAGAUUGUAAGACAUGGCUAUGAGGAAGGAACAGUGUAAACUGGAACAGGAUGGGGCAGGAGGACCAUUGUCUCUGGAGGCUUACUCCUAGGCAGAGCCUCUCAGAUCAUGGAAGUAUAUUCCCAGCUGACCCCAUUUGCCCCCUCCCCCUUGCAGCCCUUGGUUUUCUGAGGCUCAUAUCUGGAUCAAUUGUUAUCAGAAAGCAACAUUCAAGAACAUGAAAUUUGGAAUCACACAUCUGACUCAAAUGUUGACUAGCUGUGUGACCUACUGCAAGUUAGUCAACCCUCUGAACCUUGGUGUCCUCAACCCCUCAGAGCCUCAGUGUCCUCAUCUGGAAUAGAAAGAAAGUAUCUGCCUUGAAAAUCUCAUUUAAUCUUCAUAAGAGUUUAUUGAUCAAGGUACUCUGAGGAGCAGAUGGCAAGUCAUAAUUAAAUGAGUAAGGAAUUUAUUCAAAUGGAGAACACUGCUCAAUGGGAAAAGAGUCUCUGUUCUGGGUGAUGAAAAAAAUUGGAAAUGGACAGUGGUGGUGGUUGUACAGCAUGGUGAGGAUAACUAAUGCCACUGAAUUGUGUGUUUUGUUUAAAUGGCAAAUUUUACCUUAUGCUAUGUAUUUUAUCACGAUUUGUAAGAAAUGGGCUUAUGAGAGGAAACACGUGUCAGACAAAAUGGGGAGGGACUUAGGAGAGGCUGGAAGAACCAUCAGACUAAGUGAAGAAAAGAAAAGGAAGAAAGGUUGGGUGGAAGGGUCAUAGCCUAGAAUGCAUGUCUAAGAAACUUUUAGCAAGGACAUCAAGGAGUCCACUGUCUCCCACUGAUUCCUAAGUACCCCUCCAACUCUCCAGCUGGCUUGGAGUAGCCCAAGGGAAGCAUGCAGUUGGCAAGAAGUCACUGGUGGAUUUCAGAACACAGCAGCUGGGACCAUCAGUCAAUUAUGUCCUCAGUAACUAGACAUCUGAAAGGUAAAUUCUCAUGGCUGAGCUCCCACAGGGAUCCUAUAGGUUAAGGCACUCAUCACAAAAAGACAGUAGAAAGUAAAAGUAGCGGUAAUUUCUAUACCAACUAUCAACAUCAUUGUCAGUUAUUAUCACCAAUAUCUUUAUCUCUGUAAAUUUUGUUCAAAGUAACAUACAGCCAAUUCAAAUUAAACAUUUUCAAUACUUGGUGCUAGUUGUAAUAAGUAAUUGAUUGUAAUACUCAUGUGAGCAUCUUAAACUCCAUUGUAAACAUUAGAAUUGCUAAAGCUCUAUUUUUUAUAGGUGCAGGGGGACAAUAAGGUGUGACUCAAAAAUAACACAAGAAUUGUGAAUGAAAUUUAGGCAGAGCCUUCAAAUCCUGCAGUCUUCAAUCACUUUAAAGGAUAGUACUGGCCUCCACUGUCUUGUCACAUUACUCAUCUAUCAUCUGCCAAAACCACUUCAUCACCUACAAACCAAGUAACCAGGCAAGAGAGAGGUCGGCGUGAACUUUCCCACAUCAAAAGUGAAUCAGGAAGUAGUUUCAAAGUAAGUAAUCCCAUCCUGUUAUUCAUGGCAGCAAGAUUUGAACCCCACAACUUACCCACAACAUUUAGACACCUGGGGUGAUUCCUUUGCCCUGAAGAUAAUACAUGCUUCAUUACAGCGUUCCCGUAAAAAAGAAUAUGACACUCAAUUGAAUAUAGCGGGAAGAAAUCAUUCCUCUGUCUUCUCAUAAGGAGAAGCUAGUCAAUUUUGUAAAAGAUCAGAGUGGGUGACACAGAAAGAAAGGUAUUCAGAAAAACAUAGGUUUAGACAGCAAUUCCACUUUGGCAAUUAUUACCAUUCUCCAGUCAUUUAAUUUGGCAGAAUCCUGUGUCUUUAACCUGUUCCUUUAGCAGAGAAAUGAAUCUGUAGGGGGACGGUAAAAUCUUAAACAUAGACGUCCCUUUCAAUCAUGUUUCCCACCAAGGUUUCUGGUCUUCACUUCCUGAUUCCAUCGACUUUCCUGUGAAACACCUCUCUGUCUAACCAAAGAGAUUAGGCACACAAUCCUUGACUGGCCCAAGCCAGAGUCAUGUGACUCAGGCAAGCCAGUGAGGGUUCUUCCCUGAUAUGUUUACUACAUCAGGGAAGAGGGUGGGACCCAAUGGCUUCUUUCUUUCCUCUAUGGUAACUAACCUUGGACAAUUUAAGUCUGAACUUUCUUUUAUCAGAUGAUGAAAAAAACAUAGGAGAAGAGAAUCAAAUGAACAAAGAGAAGCAAACAGAAAAUAAAAUUAAAAGAGAGGUCAGUUCUGAUGAUACUUCAAACUUUUGGUCCAGUUUGUUCUGAAGCCACCUCUACUGCCUUCCCCCUUUUCUAACACUAGCAGAUGGGUUUGUACCACAUAAUAUGUCAAGAACCCACUAGAAAAAGCAGCUAGAAGAGGCCUGAAACAAAGCCCCUGAAUUAGGUAAUGCAGUUACAUUAACAGAACAUGUUUUUUAACAUCUCCUAAUAAUUUCUCCGUUGCUUACAAGAGCAGUUGUGUUGAUACAGUAACUGAGGUACCCCCCUACUGUGGAAGACACAGUCCUCUUGAGGAUGACAAACUGUCUAAAAUCCAGUCAGUACUUAUUCCUUUGAGAUGCAACAUCACCCAGGCCCUUGGAUCAAGGAGGCAUAACAAAAACAAUUCAGUUUCUCAAUGAUUCUGUAAAUUAUAUGGUGCUGAGGGCGAUCACAGUUAUUAAGAG
ensembl:lncRNA